rnacentral:rRNA from 2 species
GGGUUGUGAGGUUAAGCGACUAAGCGUACACGGUGGAUGCCCUGGCAGUCAGAGGCGAUGAAGGGCGUACUAAUCUGCGAUAAGCGCCGGUAAGGUGAUAUGAACCGUUAUAACCGGCGAUACCCGAAUGGGGAAACCCAGUGUGAUUCGUCACACUAUCAUUAACUGAAUCCAUAGGUUAAUGAGGCGAACCGGGGGAACUGAAACAUCUAAGUACCCCGAGGAAAAGAAAUCAACCGAGAUUCCCCCAGUAGCGGCGAGCGAACGGGGAGGAGCCCAGAGCCUGAAUCAGCAUGUGUGUUAGUGGAAGCGUCUGGAAAGGCGCGCGAUACAGGGUGACAGCCCCGUACACAAAAGCGCAUGUGCUGUGAGCUCGAUGAGUAGGGCGGGACACGUGGUAUCCUGUCUGAAUAUGGGGGGACCAUCCUCCAAGGCUAAAUACUCCUGACUGACCGAUAGUGAACCAGUACCGUGAGGGAAAGGCGAAAAGAACCCCGGCGAGGGGAGUGAAAAAGAACCUGAAACCGUGUACGUACAAGCAGUGGGAGCACAGGUUUACCUGUGUGACUGCGUACCUUUUGUAUAAUGGGUCAGCGACUUAUAUUCUGUAGCAAGGUUAACCGAAUAGGGGAGCCGGAGGGAAACCGAGUCUUAACCGGGCGUUAAGUUGCAGGGUAUAGACCCGAAACCCGGUGAUCUAGCCAUGGGCAGGUUGAAGGUUGGGUAACACUAACUGGAGGACCGAACCGACUAAUGUUGAAAAAUUAGCGGAUGACCUGUGGCUGGGGGUGAAAGGCCAAUCAAACCGGGAGAUAGCUGGUUCUCCCCGAAAGCUAUUUAGGUAGCGCCUCGUGAAUUCAUCUCCGGGGGUAGAGCACUGUUUCGGCUAGGGGGCCAUCCCGGCUUACCAACCCGAUGCAAACUGCGAAUACCGGAGAAUGUUAUCACGGGAGACACACGGCGGGUGCUAACGUCCGUCGUGAAGAGGGAAACAACCCAGACCGCCAGCUAAGGUCCCAAAGUCAUGGUUAAGUGGGAAACGAUGUGGGAAGGCCCAGACAGCCAGGAUGUUGGCUUAGAAGCAGCCAUCAUUUAAAGAAAGCGUAAUAGCUCACUGGUCGAGUCGGCCUGCGCGGAAGAUGUAACGGGGCUAAACCAUGCACCGAAGCUGCGGCAGCGACACUGUGUGUUGUUGGGUAGGGGAGCGUUCUGUAAGCCUGUGAAGGUGUGUCGUGAGGCAUGCUGGAGGUAUCAGAAGUGCGAAUGCUGACAUAAGUAACGAUAAAGCGGGUGAAAAGCCCGCUCGCCGGAAGACCAAGGGUUCCUGUCCAACGUUAAUCGGGGCAGGGUGAGUCGACCCCUAAGGCGAGGCCGAAAGGCGUAGUCGAUGGGAAACGGGUUAAUAUUCCCGUACUUGGUGUUACUGCGAAGGGGGGACGGAGAAGGCUAUGUUGGCCGGGCGACGGUUGUCCCGGUUUAAGCGUGUAGGUGUGUGUUCCAGGUAAAUCCGGUUCACUUUAACACUGAGGCGUGACGACGAGGCACUACGGUGCUGAAGCAACAAAUGCCCUGCUUCCAGGAAAAGCCUCUAAGCAUCAGGUAACAUCAAAUCGUACCCCAAACCGACACAGGUGGUCAGGUAGAGAAUACCAAGGCGCUUGAGAGAACUCGGGUGAAGGAACUAGGCAAAAUGGUGCCGUAACUUCGGGAGAAGGCACGCUGACACGUAGGUGAAGUGAUUUACUCAUGGAGCUGAAGUCAGUCGAAGAUACCAGCUGGCUGCAACUGUUUAUUAAAAACACAGCACUGUGCAAACACGAAAGUGGACGUAUACGGUGUGACGCCUGCCCGGUGCCGGAAGGUUAAUUGAUGGGGUCAGCGCAAGCGAAGCUCCUGAUCGAAGCCCCGGUAAACGGCGGCCGUAACUAUAACGGUCCUAAGGUAGCGAAAUUCCUUGUCGGGUAAGUUCCGACCUGCACGAAUGGCGUAAUGAUGGCCAGGCUGUCUCCACCCGAGACUCAGUGAAAUUGAACUCGCUGUGAAGAUGCAGUGUACCCGCGGCAAGACGGAAAGACCCCGUGAACCUUUACUAUAGCUUGACACUGAACAUUGAGCCUUGAUGUGUAGGAUAGGUGGGAGGCUUUGAAGUGUGGACGCCAGUCUGCAUGGAGCCGACCUUGAAAUACCACCCUUUAAUGUUUGAUGUUCUAACGUGGACCCGUUACCCGGGUUGCGGACAGUGUCUGGUGGGUAGUUUGACUGGGGCGGUCUCCUCCUAAAGAGUAACGGAGGAGCACGAAGGUUGGCUAAUCCUGGUCGGACAUCAGGAGGUUAGUGCAAUGGCAUAAGCCAGCUUGACUGCGAGCGUGACGGCGCGAGCAGGUGCGAAAGCAGGUCAUAGUGAUCCGGUGGUUCUGAAUGGAAGGGCCAUCGCUCAACGGAUAAAAGGUACUCCGGGGAUAACAGGCUGAUACCGCCCAAGAGUUCAUAUCGACGGCGGUGUUUGGCACCUCGAUGUCGGCUCAUCACAUCCUGGGGCUGAAGUAGGUCCCAAGGGUAUGGCUGUUCGCCAUUUAAAGUGGUACGCGAGCUGGGUUUAGAACGUCGUGAGACAGUUCGGUCCCUAUCUGCCGUGGGCGCUGGAGAACUGAGGGGGGCUGCUCCUAGUACGAGAGGACCGGAGUGGACGCAUCACUGGUGUUCGGGUUGUCAUGCCAAUGGCACUGCCCGGUAGCUAAAUGCGGAAGAGAUAAGUGCUGAAAGCAUCUAAGCACGAAACUUGCCCCGAG